GACCAACUACCUUAUACAGGGGGAAUAACCUUUCGAAAGGGAGACUAACACCCCAUAGUAUUGAUUUAAGGCAUCUUAGAUUAAUUAAAUAUUUAUAGGUAUAAGAUGGGCAUGCGUAUGAUUAGCUAGUUGGUAAGGUAACGGCUUACCAAGGCGACGAUCAUUAGGGGUUCUGAGAGGAAGGUCCCCCCACACUGGUACUGAGACACGGACCAGACUCCUACGGGAGGCAGCAGUGAGGAAUAUUGGUCAAUGGGCGCAAGCCUGAACCAGCCAUGCCGCGUGCAGGAAGAACCGGCCUUAUGGGUUGUAAACUGCUUUUACAUAAGACUAACCGUAUAUUUGCGAAUAUACCUGAAUGUAUUAUGAGAAUAAGGAUCGGCUAACUCCGUGCCAGCAGCUGC
rnacentral:rRNA from 1 species